CCACCACGUGCUGGGCCUUGUGCUGAGUGCUGGUGGGAUGGUGGUGGAUCAGACGAUAGUGGUUCCUGCCCUCUCGGAGAUGAUAAUUUAGUGGCAAAGACAGACAAGAAAUCUAGCCAUUAAUCUUGCAUCCAUCUCAAAUCCAGUAUGAGAUGCAAGAUUAGAUGGGGGACGGCCAGUGUUCUUGGGAGUUUGGUGUUCAGAGAAGAUUCCUAAAGAAAAUAUAUUUAGGAGCUGGGCGUGCUGGCUCAAGCCUGUAAUCCCAGCACUUUGGGAGGCUGAGGCAAAACAAUUGCUCGAACCCAGGAGUUCAAAAUCAGCCUGGACAACAUAUCAAUACCCUGUUUCUACAAAAAAAAAAAAAUACAAAAAUUAGCCAGGCAUGG
rnacentral:lncRNA from 10 species